AGGAUGAACGCUGGCGGCGUGCCUAACACAUGCAAGUCGAACGUCCUGUCUCGCAAGAGGCAGGGAGUGGCGGACGGGUGAGUACCACGUGGGUCAUCUACCGUGAGGUGAGGAAUACCGGCGAGAAAUCGCCGACAAGACCGCAUAGCCUCGGUGCAAGCCGAGGAAAGCUCUUUCGAGAGAGGGAGCGCCACACGAGGAGCCUGCGCCCGAUUAGCUAGCUGGUGGAGUAACGGUUCACCAGGGCGACGAUCGGUAGCUGGUCUGAGAGGACGAUCAGCCACACUGGGAUUGAGAACGGCCCAGACUCCUACGGGGGGCAGCAGUGAGGAAUUUUCGUCAAUGGGGGCAACCCUGAACGAGCAACGCCGCGUGCAGGAAGAAGGUUUUCGGAUCGUAAACUGCUUUUCGUCGGGGAAGAGAACGGACGGUACCCGAGGAAUCAGCCCCGGCUAACUACGUGCCAGCAGCCGC
rnacentral:rRNA from 1 species